rnacentral:tRNA from 1 species
GCCCUCGUAGCUCAGCGGAUAGAGCACCGGCCUCCGGAGCCGGGUGCGCAGGUUCGAGUCCUGCCGAGGGUACCA